ACAAGUUCUUCGCAGCCACCUCCAUCAUCCUCUUCCUCAACAAGAAGGACCUUUUCGAGGAGAAGAUCAAGAAGGUCCAUCUCAGCAUCUGCUUCCCGGAGUACGACGGCCCCAACACGUUCGAGGACGCCGGGAAUUACAUCAAGACCCAGUUCCUGGACCUGAACAUGAGGAAGGACGUGAAGGAGAUCUACAGCCACAUGACCUGUGCCACAGACACCCAGAACGUCAAGUUCGUCUUCGACGCCGUCACGGACGUGAUCAUCAAAGAGAACCUCAAGGACUGCGGCCUCUUCUGAGCCCGGGAAGGAAACAUUCCCGUCUCUCCGUUCUGCUGAGCAGAGCCAAAGGAAGAACCACCCCCUCCACACGUCACCGCUCCCACUUUUUCUAUGACCGCCCCAAAUCCGCCUCUUUUCACCCCAAACUAGGAAGGGGCUGAACUCAACGUCCUGCUCCCUUUCGUGGCCAUUUCCUCUUUUUUUUUUUUUUUUUUGUUUUUUUCCGAGGAGAACUCCCCGUUCUCAGCAUUCCACGGGAGGUUUGACACCAAGACACAGCCAGGAAUAGGAAUAUUGAGGGAAUUUGGGAGGCAGGGACGGGAAUUCCCCCCUGGCCAUCCCUCCACAGCCCCUUCCUGCCCUUGGAUCGAGGCUGGAUUCAUCCAAGCUGGAAUUUCUGGGGGAGGAGGAAGCUGAGUUACCUCCGAGUGGCUCCUGGGAACCCACCCCAGCCCUUCCCGGGAAUCGACCCUUUGGCAGGAGAAAUCAGGGAUUCCUGGAGUUCUCUGGGGCCCUGAAUGGUGGGAAUUCCUCAGGCAGGAAGGGCUGGGGGAGGGAACCCCAACUCCAGCCCGGGAAUGGGAAUGGGAAUGGGAAUGGGCUGGAUAAAGAGGAAAUGGUUGCUCGAAACAUUUUCGUUCUGCUACUUUAGAGCCACGUUCGCUCUCUCUGUUUGUAAAUAAUCCGUAGGUGAUCCCUGGAAAUCCCUGGAUCCUCCUUUCCCUGCUCCCUGCACAGAUCUCCCCUUCCAGC
rnacentral:lncRNA from 1 species